rnacentral:rRNA from 1 species
AAAUUGAAGAGUUUGAUCAUGGCUCAGAUUGAACGCUGGCGGCAGGCCUAACACAUGCAAGUCGAACGGUAGCACAGAGAGCUUGCUCUCGGGUGACGAGUGGCGGACGGGUGAGUAAUGUCUGGGAAACUGCCUGAUGGAGGGGGAUAACUACUGGAAACGGUGGCUAAUACCGCAUAACGUCGCAAGACCAAAGAGGGGGACCUUCGGGCCUCUUGCCAUCAGAUGUGCCCAGAUGGGAUUAGCUAGUUGGUGAGGUAACGGCUCACCAAGGCGACGAUCCCUAGCUGGUCUGAGAGGAUGACCAGCCACACUGGAACUGAGACACGGUCCAGACUCCUACGGGAGGCAGCAGUGGGGAAUAUUGCACAAUGGGCGCAAGCCUGAUGCAGCCAUGCCGCGUGUAUGAAGA